UGGAAGUAAAAGUCGUAACAAGGUCUCCGUUGGUGAACCAGCGGAGGGAUCAUUACAGGACUCGCAAGACUCCCGUAACCAUCGUGAACCUACCCACUCGUUGCCUCGGCGGGUGCUCCGGCGGUCCGCCGGGGCGCUCCAGCCCGCCGGUGGCCCACUACUCUGUUUCUACGCGUUGGCAUCUCCGAGUCGUUAGCAAACGAAUCAAAACUUUCAACAACGGAUCUCUUGGUUCUGGCAUCGAUGAAGAACGCAGCGAAAUGCGAUAAGUAAUGUGAAUUGCAGAAUUCAGUGAAUCAUCGAAUCUUUGAACGCACAUUGCGCCUGCCGGCAUCCCGGCAGGCAUGCCUGUUCGAGCGUCAUUUCAACCCUCAGGCUCCGCCUGGCGUUGGGGUCCUGCGCAACGCAGCCCCCUAAAGACAGCGGCGGGUGCGCCCUGGAAUCGAACGUAGUAGCUUCUUCUCGUUCUGGUUCGAGGCGUUCUCCGGCCGUAAAAACUCUCCAUAGUGGUUGACCUCGGAUCAGGUAGGAAUACCCGCUGAACUUAAGCAUAUCAAUAAGCGGAG
rnacentral:rRNA from 1 species